rnacentral:rRNA from 1 species
UACGAGGGGGGCGAGCGUUGUUCGGAAUUAUUGGGCGUAAAGGGUGCGUAGGCGGUUUGGUAAGUCUGAUGUGAAAUCUAUGGGCUCAACUCAUAGUCUGCAUCGGAAACUGCCGGGCUUGAGUGUGGGAGAGGUGGGUGGAAUUCCGCGUGUAGCAGUGAAAUGCGUAGAGAUGCGGAGGAACACCGAUGGCGAAGGCAGCCCCCUGGGCUGACACUGACGCUCAGGCACGAAAGCGUGGGGAGCAAACAGG